rnacentral:rRNA from 1 species
UACAGAGGGGGCAAGCGUUUGUUCGGAAUUACUGGGCGUAAAGGGCUCGUAGGCGGCCAACUAAGUCAGACGUGAAAUCCCCAGGCUCAACCUGGGAACUGCGUCUGAUACUGGAUGGCUUGAAUCCGGGAGAGGGAUGCAGAAUUCCAGGGUGUAGCGGUGAAAUGCGUAGAUAUCAAGAGGAACACCUGAGGUGAAGACGGGUUGCUGGGCCGACACUGACGCUGAGUGCGCGAAAGCCAGGGGAGCAAACGGG